GACGAACGCUGGCGGCGUGCUUAACACAUGCAAGUCGAACGGAAAGGCCCUGCUUUUGUGGGGUGCUCGAGUGGCGAACGGGUGAGUAACACGUGAGUAACCUGCCCUUGACUUUGGGAUAACUUCAGGAAACUGGGGCUAAUACCGGAUAGGAGCUCCUGCUGCAUGGUGGGGGUUGGAAAGUUUCGGCGGUUGGGGAUGGACUCGCGGCUUAUCAGCUUGUUGGUGGGGUAGUGGCUUACCAAGGCUUUGACGGGUAGCCGGCCUGAGAGGGUGACCGGCCACAUUGGGACUGAGAUACGGCCCAGACUCCUACGGGAGGCAGCAGUGGGGAAUAUUGCACGAUGGGCGGAAGCCUGAUGCAGCAACGCCGCGUGCGGGAUGACGGCCUUCGGGUUGUAAACCGCUUUCGCCUGUGACGAAGCGUGAGUGACGGUAAUGGGUAAAGAGGCACCGGCUAACUACGUG
rnacentral:rRNA from 1 species